UCUACCAGGAAGACUCUAAUACCACGUCAUUCAUUCAUAAAAUCGGCUUACCAAUCACAGCUCAAUGCCGACUAUUUAAACGCUGAACUAACACUCUCUCCUGCUGCCCGUAGGUGUCGUAGCUGAAGUUCGUUUGCUCGAUGCUUAGUGCAAACCAAACGUUUCCAAAGCGAUUGUUACUCGUCCACGCAGAAUCGGAUGUCAAAACGCUCGCCCUUCCUCUGCUUAUUUGUGAAUUCAGUAUGUUUACUCGGCCCGCAAUGUUUUCGUGUCAAUUUAACCUUUUCCCAGGAUCUCUCAUCCACGAUAUGCUACUCGUCUCAUUUGCCGCUCGUUCUCACAGACUGCAACACAAGGUUACAGUAGGCGUGUUUGACCAGUCCCUUCGAACGCAACUCAUCUUUGCCAAAGACCCUUAUUUAGGGAAGCUCGCAAAACUUGGCACAAAAACGCAAGGAAUGAGGCCGUUUCAUUUCAAUGAACAGAUUAAAAUACAAUGCAGUCCUGUUAAGCGUAAACUGUAAUCGACCAUAGCAACUCACUGGACGCUUGCACAGGUGUCACUGAUGAUUGCCUGAGAAGUUCGGCCGCAACAGGUGUCACUGAUCAUAUUGAUUGCCUGAGGAGUUACGGUUCAUGGUAAACACCGAAGGGUGAUGUCUUCCUAACUAAAAUAUCUUUGUCUUCUCAUCUAAACGAGAGUCACCACACGAAGGCUCUUUAAAGCAAAGAUAUAGAUUUUUUUUACGGCAUUAUUCCUCCUGAAAGGCGAUCGCGUUUCAACAGCACGGCAUUAACGCGUGAGUAAGUUAACGUCAAAAAGACCCCAAUCCAACUGUCUGUUUUCUGUGCGUGUUUGUUGUAAACAAAUGGUGUAAAACGUGUAAACGACAAAAUGGUGUAAAAUCAUAUGUGUCUGCCUAAGAAACAAGGAUUGACAUCUCUUCGAUUUCUUAGCAAUCAAGCCAGUCGAUCUACUUCACUUUUGGGGGUAGGCUCCGCCCCUGCCUUCAACAUCAGGCAGGAUCUGCCGGACUACAGCUAGACCCGGACGAAAGGCGGGGCAUAUGCCAAAAGAAUCUUACGAGACUCAAGCAUCUCUUUUAUUUUGAGACUGAUUCGAAUUUCUGUCUUUUAAUUCAACAUGGAAUAAAUGUCAUUCAAACGUUCACUUGCCUUCUGAGUCUUUAUGGUAGAAAUGAAAGCGUCAGCGUAAGUUCUACCAGGAAGACUCUAAUACCACGUCAUUCAUUCAUAAAAUCGGCUUACCAAUCACAGCUCAAUGCCGACUAUUUAAACGCUGAACUAACACUCUCUCCUGCUGCCCGUAGGUGUCGUAGCUGAAGUUCACCUCCAUCCUCCCCACCACCACCAGGUUGUUCCCUGUUCUUUUGUCCGGGGGUAGGCUCCGCCCCUGCCUUCAACAUCAGGCAGGAUCUGCCGGACUACAGCUAGACCCGGACGAAAGGCGGGGCAUAUGCCAAAAGAAUCUUACGAGACUCAAGCAUCUCUUUUAUUUUGAGACUGAUUCGAAUUUCUGUCUUUUAAUUCAACAUGGAAUAAAUGUCAUUCAAACGUU